AUAAUUAUGUGAAAUUUAUCAUACAUGGAAUAGCAUUGAUGUAUCUCUCUAUCCAUGAUUUCUUUAUUCCAAGAUAUCUUUAUAUGGCUGAAAUCCUCAUAUCAAAUGAAGCCCAAAGCUAAUAUACAAAUCAAUCGCUUCUUCCUCGACCACCCAUGUGUGCCGCUGCUGCUGCACAACACUAGUUCGCUGCCACAAGCCCACAGAUGACCUCUUUUUUUUUAAAUAAGUUCAUUCACGUAAGUAACGGUAUAGAUAGAUAGAUGAGGAGAGUCACACGAUUGAGAAGACAAGACCCG
rnacentral:lncRNA from 1 species